rnacentral:rRNA from 1 species
GAUGAACGCUGGCGGCGUGCCUAAUACAUGCAAGUCGAGCGAACAGACGAGGAGCUUGCUCCUCUGACGUUAGCGGCGGACGGGUGAGUAACACGUGGAUAACCUACCUAUAAGACUGGGAUAACUUCGGGAAACCGGAGCUAAUACCGGAUAAUAUAUUGAACCGCAUGGUUCAAUAGUGAAAGACGGUUUUGCUGUCACUUAUAGAUGGAUCCGCGCCGCAUUAGCUAGUUGGUAAGGUAAAGGCUUACCAAGGCAACGAUGCGUAGCCGACCUGUGAGGGGGAUCGGCCACACUGGAACUGAGACACGGUCCAGACUCCUACGGGAGGCAGCAGUAGGGAAUCUUCCGCAAUGGGCGAAAGCCUGACGGAGCAACGCCGCGUGAGUGAUGAAGGUCUUCGGAUCGUAAAACUCUGUUAUUAGGGAAGAACAAAUGUGUAAGUAACUAUGCACGUCUUGACGGUACCUAAUCAGAAAGCCACGGCUAACUACGUG